CCGAGCGUGCAGAAAGCAGCGAGAUCCCGGGGCGGGCCCAAUUCCUGGGCUGACGUCACUACCCUGGCCUGGAGAGGCUGUUGCUGAGCCGGCUCCAACCGGCUGGAAGGCGGGAAGCUGUUUCGUCUGGAGGCUCGCGCGCUUUUUGGAAUUCAGUUAUCAAGCUUCAGAGCCUCGCUACUCACAGUUGAAGCCUGAUUGCUAGUCAGCAAUGCUAAGCGUUAAAUGCCUCCUAUAUUUAGGGGAUAAGGACUCCGUGGAGGUUUUCUCUGGUCCCAGCUCCUGCUUUUUACUUUUCUUGGGGGUGGGAGGGAUAGAUCAAGCCCCCAUUAAUUUUUACUGCCACCAUCUACUCUUGUGUAUAAAGCUUUGAAGUCUGAGAGACCUGGGUUUUCAGCUCAACAUCUCAGCGUGGUUCCUUGACUGCAAACACUUCUCCUUCCUGCUGCCACGUGAAAAAGCUUGUGUUUGCUUCCCCUUCCACCAUGAUUGUAAGUGUCCUGAGGCCUUCCCAGCCCUGCAGAAUUGUGUGGUGGCACAUGCCUGUAGUCCCAGCUGCUCGGGAGGCUGAGGCAGAAGAAUCACUUGAGCCUGGAAAGUCGAGGCUGCAGCAAGCUGUGAUUGUGCCACUGCCCUCUAGCCUGGGCCAUGGAGCAAGACCCUGCCAAAACAACAACAACGACAAAAAAAAAAAAAAAAAAACAGAAAGAAACUGAAAAAGCU